GCAGUCGUGACCGAGUGGUUAAAGCGAUGGAAUAGAACUCCAUUGGGGGUCUCUCCGCAUAGGUUCGAAUCCUGUCGACUGCG
rnacentral:tRNA from 2 species